GAUGAACGCUGGCGGCGUGCCUAAUACAUGCAAGUCGAGCGAACAGACGAGGAGCUUGCUCCUCUGACGUUAGCGGCGGACGGGUGAGUAACACGUGGAUAACCUACCUAUAAGACUGGGAUGACUUCGGGAAACCGGAGCUAAUACCGGAUAAUAUAUUGAACCGCAUGGUUCAAUAGUGAAAGACGGUUUUGCUGUCACUUAUAGAUGGAUCCGCGCCGCAUUAGCUAGUUGGUAAGGUAACGGCUUACCAAGGCAACGAUGCGUAGCCGACCUGAGAGGGUGAUCGGCCACACUGGAACUGAGACACGGUCCAGACUCCGACGGGAGGCAGCAGUAGGGAAUCUUCCGCAAUGGGCGAAAGCCUGACGGAGCAACGCCGCGUGAGUGAUGAAGGUCUUCGGAUCGUAAAACUCUGUUAUUAGGGAAGAACAAAUGUGUAAGUAACUAUGCACGUCUUGACGGUACCUAAUCAGAAAGCCACGGCUAACUACGUG
rnacentral:rRNA from 1 species